AGUUAGCUGCGUUAGGGAUUGCAUUGAAAAUCCUUUUUAUGAAGUAUGAAUAAAAAGAUUGUAAAGGAAAGCCCGACCUGCA
rnacentral:sRNA from 1 species